rnacentral:lncRNA from 1 species
CCUGCACUGGCCUUGCCUAGAAGGAGCAAGUGUGACCUCACAGGAGUGGGUGAGCUUUGGAACCUUCAAAUCAGGGCUCCACUGGGCCCAUCCUCCCAUGAUUUAAGCCCCGAUCUCCUCAUCUGUGAAUUGGGACUCUUAAAUGUAAAUGAUCUCAUUGGGUGGUUGGGAGGAUUGGAUGGGACCAUAAACACUGCUGAGCAUGUUGUCCAAGAGGCAGCCUUCCAGAAAAGGUUCACAUUUUACAGGUUGGCAAACUGAGCCCAGGAAGGCUGAACUCUUUACAUGAAGGCACUCAUCAAGUGGAGGCUCUGCUGUGCAGGGCCAGGAAACAGUGCUCCAAUUGGGUCCCUGGGGCAUUAAGAAAUAUACAGCAUUUAUGUUUUUCCAUGACAAUCUGAACUCCUUGUGGAACUGAGUUUUGCUUUGCUGCUGCCAUAAGUGCUGGAGCCCCA